AAAGUGAUAAGCUAAACUAAGCUAGAGGGUUCAUACCCCUUUUAUGAAGAAAAUUCUUCUCUCUUUA
rnacentral:tRNA from 1 species